rnacentral:misc_RNA from 1 species
UUUACAUUUCUUCACAAGGGAAAAUCAUCAUGUCAUGAUUCUCUUAUGGGGAUAAUUUAAAUUUUGUAUGCUAAAAUUCCUACAAAAAGAUAUUAUUUGAACUCCUCUAAACAAUUACGAGGCUUUAACGCAUGUCCUUUGUUGAUUAAUGUGUCAUCGUACAACAAGGGCUGUGUAUUCUAAUGAACAAGCAGAGAAUCAACUGCUGGGGUUGAUGUUGCUCCCUGAGGUCAUUUCUAUUCCUUUCCUCUUGGUAUUCCUUCCCAACUCUACAUCCCUAUCAUUCUCAGAUAAUGAUCUCUCCACUUUUCUUCUCUUAUUCUUUUGCCGUGACUGGUCUUCCUUCUCAUCCAUUAAUGAUAAUAGCCUAUGCAGACGUCCAGAGCGUGAGCCACCUUGAGUAGGGGAAGCGGAUUCUGCAGGGGGAACGCGAUAUAAUUGGCGUAUAAUCUGCAGAAAAUAUAUGAAGAGAGCAAAGAAGCAAGCUAGCCCACAAAUGACAAAGAGGCCCCAAAAGCUUUUAAGCUCAAGUCUAUCUGAUUCGAUCUCAGUUCUAUCUGAACUGCAACUGCUAUGCAUGAGCCACUUGUCAUGGAUCCUUUGAAGAUCACCAUUUUCCGAUAGUGCUAGAAUUGCCGUUGACAUAUCAACAGCUAAGGGAGAGUCCCGUGGAAAUGCAAAACCCCAGCCACUUUUUGUAAAUUCUUGACCUACAAUCCUGAAUGUGCAUUGGGUUGAUAGGAAGAUGUCAACGUAAGGAAGUUCGUCAACAACUGCAGCAACACCCCCAUCCUUUGUAGGACCAAGUUGGAGUGCUCUAGCAUAUGCUUCAGGUGAUCCUAGGGGAACAAGCCUAGAUUUAGAUAUUCCAAGUUCCUGACUCAAAUAAUAUUCAGCAAAAGAACCCACUUGGUAUCCUAUGGGUUCAUCAC